UAGACAGAUGCUCACAGGUUGGAGUUUCUAGAUGUUAAUUAGAGGUUUGUGGGGUCGAAGCCCACUUGUCUAG
rnacentral:tRNA from 1 species